GAGUUCACAUCGACGGAGUGGUUUGGCACCUCGAUGUCGGCUCAUCGCAUCCUGGAGCUGUAGCAGGUUCCAAGGGUUGGGCUGUUCGCCCAUUAAAGCGGUACGCGAGCUGGGUUCAGAACGUCGUGAGACAGUUCGGUCCCUAUCCGGCGCAGGCGGAGGAAAUUUGAUAGGAGCUGUCCUUAGUACGAGAGGACCGGGAUGGACGGACCGCUGGUGUAUCUGUUGUACUGCCAAGUGCAUAGCAGAGUAGCCAAGUCUGGAAGGGAUAAACGCUGAAGGCAUCUAAGCGUGAAGCCCCCCUAAAGAUAAGAUUUCCCAUACCAUAAGGUAGUAAGACCCCUUGAAGACGACGAGGUAGAUAGGGCAGAGGUGGAAGUACGGUAACGUAUGGAGCUGACUGUUACUAAUCGGUCGAGGCUUUAACCAAA
rnacentral:rRNA from 1 species